rnacentral:Y_RNA from 1 species
GGCUGGUCCGAAGGUAGUGAGUUAUCUCACAAGAUUGUUCACAGUCAGUUACAGAUUGAACUCCUUGUUCUACUACUUCCCCCCUUACUCACUACUGCACUUGACUAGUCUUAA